GAUCGAAUUUAAUGGUUAGAAGUUUCUACGCAGUUAAAUUUCUGAGAAAUCCCGGUCGACAGAUCCGGAAAUCUUCAAUGUAUGACGAGGAAGCCAUAACAUGGGUUAAUCGAGAAGAGCACUUUACGAAAAAGAAGAAAUUUACAGGGGUAGGCCCAAUCGAAAUGGAUCCUCAAAAUUUACCUCCUCCGUCUGCAAAUAUUGAUUCAACCGCGUUGUCUUUUUAUCAACAACGACCUUUUUGUAGUGGAAAUGGAGGAAAGAUAUAUUGUUCAAG